rnacentral:rRNA from 1 species
GACGAACGCUGGCGGCGUGCCUAAUACAUGCAAGUAGGACGCUGAAGGAGGAGCUUGCUUCUCUGGAUGAGUUGCGAACGGGUGAGUAACGCGUAGGUAACCUGCCUGGUAGCGGGGGAUAACUAUUGGAAACGAUAGCUAAUACCGCAUAAGAGUAGAUGUUGCAUGACAUUUGCUUAAAAGGUGCAAUUGCAUCACUACCAGAUGGACCUGCGUUGUAUUAGCUAGUUGGUGAGGUAACGGCUCACCAAGGCAACGAUACAUAGCCGACCUGAGAGGGUGAUCGGCCACACUGGGACUGAGACACGGCCCAGACUCCUACGGGAGGCAGCAGUAGGGAAUCUUCGGCAAUGGACGGAAGUCUGACCGAGCAACGCCGCGUGAGUGAAGAAGGUUUUCGGAUCGUAAAGCUCUGUUGUAAGAGAAGAACGAGUGUGAGAGUGGAAAGUUCACACUGUGACGGUAUCUUACCAGAAAGGGACGGCUAACUACGUG